GUCCACGGGCAUACAACCCUGAAUGUGCCUGAUCCUGGAAGCUAAGCAGUGUUGGGCCUGGUUAGUACUUGGAUGGGAGAAAAUAUGAACUUAACACGGGCUGCUUCACUAAGAUUUGUGGAAC
rnacentral:rRNA from 1 species